GAUAAACGCUAGCGGCGUGCCUAACACAUGCAAGUCGAACGCCCUUUUGCGCAAGUGAGAGGGAGUGGCGGACGGGUGAGUAGCACGUGGGUACCUACCCCAAGAUGAGGAAUACCACCGAGAAAUCGGUGACAAGACCGCAUACCUUCGGCCACGAAGAAAGCUUCUCCUCACGAAGAGGCGUCUUGGGAUGGGCCUGCGCCUGAUUAGCUGGUUGGUGAGGUAACAGCNCACCAAGGCGACGAUCAGUAGCUGGUCUGAGAGGAUGAUCAGCCACACUGGGAUUGAGAACGGCCCAGACUCCUACGGGGGGCAGGCAGUGAGGAAUUUU
rnacentral:rRNA from 1 species